rnacentral:rRNA from 1 species
GACGAACGCUGGCGGCGUGCCUAAUACAUGCCAGUAGAACGCACAGUUUAUACCGUAGCUUGCUACACCAUAGACUGUGAGUUGCGAACGGGUGAGUAACGCGUAGGUAACCUGCCUGGUAGCGGGGGAUAACUAUUGGAAACGAUAGCUAAUACCGCAUAAUAUUAAUUAUUGCAUGAUAAUUAAUUGAAAGGUGCAAUUGCACCACUACCAGAUGGACCUGCGUUGUAUUAGCUAGUAGGUGAGGUAACGGCUCACCUAGGCGACGAUACAUAGCCGACCUGAGAGGGUGAUCGGCCACACUGGGACUGAGACACGGCCCAGACUCCUACGGGAGGCAGCAGUAGGGAAUCUUCGGCAAUGGACGAAAGUCUGACCGAGCAACGCCGCGUGAGGGAAGAAGGUUUUCGGAUCGUAAAGCUCUGUUGUAAGAGAAGAACGGGUGUGAGAGUGGAAAGUUCACACUGUGACGGUAUCUUACCAGAAAGGGACGGCUAACUACGUG